UGAGGCCAAGAUCCAGGAUAAGGAAGGC
rnacentral:piRNA from 1 species